AGAGUUUGAUCCUGGCUCAGAUUGAACGUUGGCGGCAUGCCUAACACAUGCAAGUCGAACGGUAACGCGAGGAGCUUGCUCCUUGGCGACGAGUGGCGGACGGGUGAGUAAUACUUAGGAAUCUGCCCAGUAGUGGGGGACAACUCGAGGAAACUCGAGCUAAUACCGCAUACGCCCUACGGGGGAAAGCGGGGGAUCUUCGGACCUCGCGCUAUUGGAUGAGCCUAAGUCGGAUUAGCUUGUUGGUGGGGUAAAGGCCUACCAAGGCGACGAUCCGUAGCUGGUCUGAGAGGACGAUCAGCCACACUGGGACUGAGACACGGCCCAGACUCCUACGGGAGGCAGCAGUGGGGAAUAUUGGACAAUGGGGGCAACCCUGAUCCAGCAAUGCCGCGUGUGUGAAGAAGGCCUGCGGGUUGUAAAGCACUUUCAGUAGAGAAGAAAAUCUUACGGUUAAUAACCGUAAGUCUUGACGUAACCUACAGAAGAAGCACCGGCUAACUCCGUGCCAGCAGCCGCGGUAAUACGGAGGGUGCAAACGUUAAUCGGAAUUACUGGGCGUAAAGCGCGCGUAGGCGGUUUAGUAAGUCGGAUGUGAAAGCCCUGGGCUCAACCUGGGAAUUGCAUUCGAUACUGCUUGACUAGAGUA
rnacentral:rRNA from 1 species